UCAGCUAUGAUGAAUUUGCUAAAACGUAAAAGGAGUCAUCAUGAUCAGCUGACUCUUUAAUGAAAUAUAUUACGCUUGGCUUCUGAGCAAU
rnacentral:snoRNA from 1 species